GAUGAACGCUGGCGGCGUGCCUAAUACAUGCAAGUCGAGCGAACUGAUUAGAAGCUUGCUUCUAUGACGUUAGCGGCGGACGGGUGAGUAACACGUGGGCAACCUGCCUGUAAGACUGGGAUAACUUCGGGAAACCGAAGCUAAUACCGGAUAGGAUCUUCUCCUUCACGGGAGAUGAUUGAAAGAUGGUUUCGGCUAUCACUUACAGAUUGGCCCGCGGUGCAUUAGCUAGUUGGUGAGGUAACGGCUCACCAAGGCAACGAUGCAUAGCCGACCUGAGAGGGUGAUCGGCCACACUGGGACUGAGACACGGCCCAGACUCCUACGGGAGGCAGCAGUAGGGAAUCUUCCGCAAUGGACGAAAGUCUGACGGAGCAACGCCGCGUGAGUGAUGAAGGCUUUCGGGUCGUAAAACUCUGUUGUUAGGGAAGAACAAGUACAAGAGUAACUGCUUGUACCUUGACGGUACCUAACCAGAAAGCCACGGCUAACUACGUGCCAGCAGCCGCCGUAAUAC
rnacentral:rRNA from 1 species